UUCUCGCUGGUGCGGGUCUCGCCGGCGCCGCGUCGUUCGCGCUGGCGCUGGUGCUGUCCGCCGCUUUCCUCGCCACCUUCGACGCGUGGCGGGAAA
rnacentral:tRNA from 1 species